GAGAGUUGGGAUUCGGGGUAUAAAGGGGAAAAAACGAAGGAAAGCAAUCGGCGACGGAGGCGGAGACUAGAAGGAAGAGAGAGCAAUGAAAUCGCCGAGAUGGGGAUAUGUUAGAAUAAUAUCAGGAACUAUUUUUGGAGGCAUUCUUGGAUUCUAUCUUAUGCAUCGCGCUGAACUCAACUACAAGGAAAUGUGGAACGAGAGAUUGAACAAGUACGAGGAGGAGCACAAAAUGAAGCAAAGUAUGGAGACGCAUACCCCCACUGAGUUGUCAGGAGUAGAUAGACUGGACACUCCAAUUGCACGAAUAAUUGGGUAUGGAAUUGCAGUCCAGGAAUUCAGGGUGACUUUUUUGUUUCAUGCUUAUGUCUUGUGGAUAAUAAUUUAUGUUUAUGCUCUGAAGUACAAUGGGUUUAGUAGAUAUCUGACUGAAGUUUGACAAUUGUGAAUUAUGAAUUUUGAGUUGUGGAUGCUUAAUUGCCUCUAAUCUAAAAUUACUUUCUAAGAUCGGAUGAUCAAUCAAUAUCCUUAUAUAUUAUUUCUAGUUUCAACAUAAAAAUAUAUUGUGUGGGUAAAAAACAAUGGUUGCUCAAGCGCCUAGUAACCUCGAUGUAGGUCUCCACUUUACUCUACUGUGCAAAAGACCAAAGAAGGUAAGAGAUGAGGUGCUGACUCAUGUUUAUCCAAGUAAACAAUUUCUCCGUGUUUUUGAUUGGAGUGACAAAACUCCUAUAAAAUAUGAUAUGUCCAAUCUGUACAAGUUUGGGUAGGUUAAUGCAGUGUUCAGGGAAGCGUGAAGCGGGAAAAAGUGACAAGGCUUGCUUCGCUUAAACCAUGAAUUCAAUGAAGUGAAGCGCGGUUUAAAAGAAAAAAGACCAACAUAAAUAGAGAAUAUAUAUAAGCAAAAAUACAAAUGAUAAGCUAAAAAGUAGAUAUCACAAAUCAAAGUUAUUAAUGGUUCAACUUCUAUUUCUUGUUCUUCUAAAGAUCUACUUGUACAAGAUUGUUAGAAUCUUGUAUUUCUCCCUUAUCAUUAUAUUGCUCAUCAUCUUCUUCAAAUCCAUUAUCAUCUCCCUUGUCAAAAUCCCUUCCACACUUCCUUAUAUCACAAUUAUCAUAAAAGAGUGAUGGGUUCAAACUAACUAAUGCAUUGAGACCCUUACAACGUAGAGCUUCGCUUCACACUUAUAGCGGUGAAGCGAGUGCUUUCCUGAAUGUUGGGUUAAUCCCACUCAUUUAUUAACCCAGUCCAUCCUCACCUCUACAAAUUCAGUCUAUUUAAAAGUGAGAUUAUUGUGGAUGCAUUUGCGGGCAAGACGUAUGUCCGAAAGAAAGCCAAUUAAAUUAAGUAUUUAAUUAUAUAAUAGGUUUUUUUUAGUUUCAUAAGGAUUAGGUUCAUCUAUUGUCAUUUUUCUAGAAUAGGAUUUAUGUUUCCUAGUUUCGUAAGGAUUAGACUUCUUAUUGUUGUAAUAGGACUCCCUAUUUAAAAGGGGAUUUUGUGGAAUAAAACAAGUUGUAUUUUAACAAAAAAAAGUUAUCAGAGUACUCUCAUCCAUUGAACUCUAAAGUUUCAGCUUUUCUUUAACAAGUUGAACUGUUUAAGUUAUAUUCAAAAUAGAUCGUUCUAGGAAUUCAAACAAGGACAAAGGAAAGUCGAAGUCAAUUGAUUUAGAUUUUCCUGGUCAUCGUCCUAUGACUUGAUCAUCCUCUAAAACUCCUAACAAUUUGGUAUUGGGAGUCGACACAAUGAGAUCAUUUCCAGAUUCCAAGAAGAACGUGGAUUCCACAUUGGACACUGUGAUACGUAGAGUUGAAUAGCAUAUUGAUUGAUAUGUUAUUAUGGGUCAAAAUUUUUGUGUAGGGAGCAAGCAUAGACAAUCAACCAUUUUUUCUUACAUUGCAAAUAGACAGAUCUAACUAUUGAGAAUGUUCAUAUGUCUAAAAGGAAUCAUAUGGGUAAAACCUGGAAGUAUCAAAGGGAUUUUAAGCAGCUGGAACAAGGAUAUUGAUGUAGCAAAGGAGGAGGAACGAUAGGAGAUUGUCCCAGCAUGCUUAUGGUCGACAAUCUGGACCGAAAAGAACAAGGGGUGCUUUGAGGAUGUGCAGAAUAGUUUGAAGAAGAUCAAAAUGAACCGUGUAAUCCUCUUUUAUUUUUGGUGUAAACAAGAUGUAUUAGCUCAAACAAAAGACAUCUUUAAUGUACUUGACUGUUUAUAGGCUUUAGAAAGGUAGAGAAAGAUGUAGGUUUGGAAUACUUUUGGAAGGGAACUACACAUUUGGUUGUAGUAUACCUGUGGAUAUAGUAGGGCUGUUCAAAAUUCGGGUCAAACCAAUAACCCGGAUUGAUUUUUGGUUAUUGGGCUAACGGGUCGGGAUAUUGGUUUAUUGGGUCGGGUGUCGGGUUUCUAGUUCAGCUUAUUGGCUUAUUGGGUCGGGGCUCGAUUUUGAAAGGUCCAAUUUUGGGGUACUCGAUACCCCGAUAAGUCCAUUACUUAAUUCCUAAUUUAUUUCCAUUUCCCACGUUACUCACUUACUCAGUUAGGGACUUAGGGCUUAGAAGUUAUUUCCAAUUUCCUAUUCCCAUUUCCCAGUUAUGCCGACAGACCCAUUGCUCUCUAUUUUUCUAUUUCUCUUCUCAAAUCGCCAUUGCUCAGUCACUCAGGCGAGGCGGUGGUGAGUCCUCAGUCACUUAGGCGAGGCGACGACGAGUCUCGCUUCUCAUAAACUCAGGCGAGGUCACAACGAUGACUGCUAGAGUCACGAUUUCACUGGUUCACUCUCAGAUUUUGCUCACUUCUUAGUGGUCAGAAGUCAGAUGCUCGAGACUUCAGACUCGAGAUUUUAAGUCUUCUCAGUUCUCACCGACUCUAAAGACUUAGAAACUCACAAUUUCACUCUCCGCUCACUGCUCAGCCGGAGAAGUAAGUCUCAGAUUCUGAUUUGCAUGUAAUUUCAAGAUUUCACUGUGAUGUUUGGGUUUGAUUUUUGAGAAAAUGAUUGUGAAUUUCACUUAGGUCUUAGAAGACUUAGUCGCUCACUGCCUCGAGUCAAUUUCACUCUCAGAAGCUCACGAUUUCACUUUCAGAUAUCAGAAUUAGAACUAUGCUCAGUUGCUCACGAUUUCUCAUUCUCUUCAAUCGUCUUUUUGUGAAAGUAUCAUGGCUGAAAAUAUCAUAAUUGAUAAGGUUGUUGGUGAAAGUGGAGCUUCUAAUUCAAAUGCAAUAGGUCAAACUCAAACUGUUGAGUCCAAAGUAAAGAAAGGAAAAAAAGAUCUCGUGCGUGGGAUCAUUUUACUCGUAAAACUAAUUCUGAUGGAAAUGAUAAGUGUGUUUGUAACUAUUGUAAGCAAGAGUAUUUUGCUGGCACAAAAGAACAUGGUACAACGACAAUGCUUGGUCAUAUACCCAAAUGCAAGAAGAUGCCUUAUAAUAUUGAUAUUAAACAAUCAAAAUUAGCAUUUCAACCAGUUGUAGGGGGUAACAAGGGUGAUGUAGCUGUUGUUUCAUGGAAAUUUGAUCAAUAAGAGUGUAGGAAGGCUUUGUGUUGUAUGGUCAUUCUUGAUCAACUUCCUUUCAGAUUUGUUGAAAAAGAAGGUUUUAAACAAUUUAUGAAAGUAGCACAACCUUGUUUGCGCAUUCUUUCUCAUACCACUGUGACUAGAGAUUAUUUUAAUCUUUUGAUGAAGAAAAACAUAAAAGGAUGGUUGUUUUUAAGAAAUCACAACAAAGGUGUUGUUUAACCAUUGAUACUUGGACUUCCGUGCAAAGAAUCAAUUAUAUGGUCAUUACCGCUCAUUGGAUUGAUAAAAAAUGGACUUUGCAUAAAAGAAUUAUCAAUUUUUGUCCAAUCUCUAGUCAUAGAGGUGAAGAUCCUGCAAAGUCUAUUAGUAAGUGUUUGCAUGAGUGGGGAUUGCAUCGAAUUUUCACUGUUACAGUUGAUAAUGCUAGUUCAAAUAAUGUGACAGUUAUUGAGUUGUCUAAGCAAUUAACCAAGUGGAGGACCAACCUAACGGGUGGUAGUCACCUUCACGUGAGGUGUAUGGCCCAUAUUGUAAAUCUUAUUGUUCAAGAUGGUAUAAAGGAAGUAAAUGUGUCUAUUGAACGAGUUAGGCAAGCGGUAAGAUACAUUAGGCAAUAUCCCGCUAGGUGGAAAAAGUUUCAAUAAUAUUUUGAAGAUGAAAAUCUUGUUAAAAAGUCUGUGUUUGGAUGUUCCUACAAGGUGGAAUUCCUCCUAAAUGAUGUUGAACAAGGCUGUUGAAUAUGAAAGUGCAAUUGUAGAUUAUGCGGAUCGUGAUAUUGGCUUGGCACAUCAUCUGAAGUUUGGUGAUAUUGUGGAUGAAAAUCCUACUGGUACACUUUUGAGUAGUGACUGGGAGAGUUAAAGAGAAUUGCUAAAUUUCUUGAAAUGUUUUUUAAGCUUAUUUUGAAGGUAUCUGGAUCACAAUAUGUUACAUCAAAUUUUCAUCUUCUUGAAAUUUGUCAAGUUGGUGUUUACUUGAGACAGUUGAUAUCAAAUGAAGACUUUGUUUUGGCUGAAAUAGCAAUAAAGAUGAAAGAGAAAUUUGAGAAAUAUUGGGGUGGUACCGAAAAAAUGAAUAAGAUGCUUUUCAUAUCAUGUGUUUUGGAUCCUUGUCACAAAUUUUGCACUCUUAGCUUUGCAUUUAAUAAGAUGUUUGGGGACGAAGGGGCUGAUAUAGAAAGUGAUGUGCGAACGUACAUGAAAUCUUUGUUUAAUGAGUAUGCAAAGCCCUCUUCAUAUGAUAAAAGUGGCCAACAUUCUUCAACAGAGGUAGAGGUGGAGGCUUCUGAUUCAAGGUCUAUCCCAACAAGAGAUUUGGGGAACUUUUUUGAGGAAUUACAUAGACAUACAUCUGGAAGUGGAGAAUCAAAUUUUAAGUCAAAAUUGGAUAAAUAUCUUGAAGAAGAUAUUGAAGUUGGAAAGUCAGAUUUUGGUGUAUUGCUUUGGUGGAAAGCUAACUCAUCUAGAUUCCCCUCUCUUUCCGAGAUGGCUCGAGAUGUAUUGGCUAUUCCUAUUUCAAGUGUGGCGUCUGAUGUGCUUUUAGUACUGGAGGGCACAUACUUGAUUCGUUUAGGAGUUCAUUAACUCCUCAAUUGGUACAAGCUCUAGUGUGCCUUCAAGAUUUGCUUCAGAGUGAGCCACAACCCAUAAGUAUUGAGGAAGAUUUAGAUUUUCUCGAGCAACUUGAACAAGAUAUGGCUAAACUUGGAAAAGAACCUUGCAUUGAUGACAUGUAGAAUUGGAGGCUUCCUUCAAUUACUCUACUAAAGGAGGAAGAUUUAAUCAUGCCUCAAUUUCGUGGUCCUAAAGCUCGAUCACCUGUUUGGAGUCACUAUGAAAAGCUUGAAGAAAAUGAAGAUGGAUGGUGCAAAGUGAAAUGUAUUCAUUGUGGUCAUGUUGCUAAUUAUCAUUCGUAGAAUAUCGGGACAGACUCCUUGUGGCCUCAUGUCAAGCAUUGUUUGGUUAUGGAGCAGAAUCGUUCACUUGAUUAAGUAGUUAUUAUUUUGUUGACUUGAUUGUGUGACUGUUAAUUUUCUGUUUGUGCUAGACAAUUUUCAAUUUGUGUGACAUUUUGACAGCUCAAUAUUCAAAUUGUGAUGCUGCAAUGGUUUAACUUGUAGUGUUGUUGUUUAGUCUAAUUAUUUUGCUAUGAUAUUUGUGUUGAACAGCUUGUGGUGCAGCUUGUAGCCUUGUUGUGUUGAUACUGUUGUAGUGCAAUUGUGUUGUUACUGUUGUAUAGUUGUA